UAGGCGUUGUCUGAGGCUAAC
rnacentral:miRNA from 1 species